GUUGGGAUUGUAAUUCAGAUAAAUUUACAUUCUGUUUAGCGAAAUUAGCAGAAAUAGCCAAGUCAGUGGUUGCUACUAAGCGAAAUAUUCUAAGUAUAUUAGCCUGCUUAUUUGAUCCUUUAGGUAUAAUUUCACCAGUAGCAGUGAGUAUAAAGAUGUUAUUUCAGGAGUUGUGCUUAGACAGAGUUGAAUGGGAUGAAGAAUUUGAAGGUGAAAAGAAGAAGCGGUGGUUGAGUUGGGUUGAAGAUCUUGAACGAG